GGUGGAGAAGAACGGAGGAAGGCCACACUGUCUUUCCAGGACGUGAGAUAGCCGAUUAUGCAAGCGGUGGAUUGACUGUGUGUUGAGAAGGAAUUCUCUCCAGCCGUGGCGUGAUAUUGUUCCAACCAACUCUACGGUGGAGAAGAACGGAGGAAGGCCACACUGUCUUUCCAGGACGUGAGAUAGCCGAUUAUGCAAGCGGUGGAUUGACUGUGUGUUGAGAAGGAAUUCUCUCCAGCCGUGGCGUGAUAUUGUUCCAACCAACUCUACGGUGGAGAAGAACGGAGGAAGGCCACACUGUCUUUCCAGGACGAGAGAUAGC